GCUCCAGUAGCUCAGUGGAUAGAGCAACCGCCUUCUAAGCGGUCGGUCACAGGUUCGAGCCCUGUCUGGAGCG
rnacentral:tRNA from 1 species